rnacentral:rRNA from 1 species
GCAUUGAUGGCUCGGUGAGGCCUUCGGACUGGCCCAGGGAGGUCGGCAACGACCACCCAGGGCCGGAAAGUUGGUCAAACCCGGUCAUUUAGAGGAAGUAAAAGUCGUAACAAGGUCUCCGUAGGUGAACCUGCGGAGGGAUCAUU